rnacentral:rRNA from 1 species
CCUACGGGAGGCUGCAGUGGGGAAUAUUGGACAAUGGGGGGAACCCUGAUCCAGGCAUGCCGCGUGUGUGAAGAAGGCCCUCGGGUUGUAAAGCACUUUCAGUGAGGAAGAACGCCUGGUGGUUAAUACCCAUCAGGAAAGACAUCACUCACAGAAGAAGCACCGGCUAACUCCGUGCCAGCAGCCGCGGUAAUACGGAGGGUGCGAGCGUUAAUCGGAAUUACUGGGCGUAAAGCGCGCGUAGGUGGCUUGAUAAGCCGGUUGUGAAAGCCCCGGGCUCAACCUGGGAACGGCAUCCGGAACUGUCAAGCUAGAGUGCAGGAGAGGAAGGUAGAAUUCCCGGUGUAGCGGUGAAAUGCGUAGAGAUCGGGAGGAAUACCAGUGGCGAAGGCGGCCUUCUGGACUGACGCUGACACUGAGGUGCGAAAGCGUGGGUAGCAAACAGGAUUAGAUACCCUUGUAGUC